rnacentral:rRNA from 1 species
AGAGUUUGAUCAUGGCUCAGAACGAACGCUGGCGGCAGGCCUAACACAUGCAAGCCGAACGCCGUAGCAAUACGGAGUGGCAGACGGGUGAGUAACGCGUGGGAACCUACCUUACGGUCGGGAAUAGCUCAGGGAAACUUGGGGUAAUACCGGAUACGCCCUUACGGGGAAAGAUUUAUCGCCGUUAGAUGGGCCCGCGUAGGAUUAGCUAGUUGGUGAGGUAAUGGCUCACCAAGGCGACGAUCCUUAGCUGGUCUGAGAGGAUGAUCAGCCACACUGGGACUGAGACACGGCCCAGACUCCUACGGGAGGCAGCAGUGGGGAAUAUUGGACAAUGGGCGCAAGCCUGAUCCAGCCAUGCCGCGUGAGUGACGAAGGCCUUAGGGUUGUAAAGCUCUUUUGGCGGGGAAGAUAAUGACGGUACCCGCAGAAUAAGCUCCGGCUAACUUCGUG